rnacentral:rRNA from 1 species
UUGGCGGACGGGUGAGUAACGCGUGGGGGAACCUGCCUUGCACCGGGGGAUAACACUUAGAAAUAGGUGCUAAUACCGCAUAAGCGCACAGAGCCGCAUGGCUCGGUGUGAAAAACUCCGGUGGUGCAAGAUGGACCCGCGUCUGAUUAGCUGGUUGGCGGGGUAACGGCCCACCAAGGCGACGAUCAGUAGCCGGCCUGAGAGGGUGAACGGCCACAUUGGGACUGAGACACGGCCCAAACUCCUACGGGAGGCAGCAG